rnacentral:lncRNA from 1 species
CACACACAAAUAUAUAAGUUUUCAUUUUUUGGUUUAUCAGGUAACAGAAUCCCAAGGACAAAUGAAACUUUCUGAUGAUGCAAAACACUUUUACUCCAAGGAAACUAUUUUAAGGUUUUCCACAAAAUGCCAUGAAUUCCUGGUGUUCCCGUCCUCAAGGGUCCCUUUGUCUGGACUUCUGUGUCCUUCCUAGGAAAACUAGCAGCCACACAGGCCCUAACACUAGCUGACAGCCUGUGUCAUCACGCACUGGGUGAUGAGCAAGCCGCAUCGUCUGCUCCGACACAGUAGGAAGUCACCAGCUCUCAGCAGUGCCAUGUGGUUGGAGGUUUUCCUGAUUGUUCCACACGGAGAUGACUCUUCUUCCUGCUUCGGGAUUUUGUUUUAUGAAAAUCAAGAGUGUUAGCAUUCAGAAAAAGAGCUUCCCUUUUAAAUGAUACAUGCCCAAAUAAAACAUUCAAACAAUGUGGAAAAGCACACACAAGAAAGUGAGGUAUCAGACAGCCAGCAUCCAGAGGGCGUUAUCGCUUAACAGGCCACAGAAACUUGGGAAGAGAAGGUCUCUGUUCCCUUCAUAGUGGUCCCAUUUUGUUGGCUCAGUCUGCUGUCAGAAAUCAGCAAAAAUCACCGCUGCACACAAUGUUCAGCUGACGUGGACUUUGCCUCUUGCUCACGUGUAAGGCGCUGUACAGCUAUCGCCCACCUGUCCAGCCAAUAUUUACUGUGCCCCAUCUAUGCCGAGUCAGGCUGGCUGUGGAGCCAGCACGUCCCAGAGCCUCUGGCCCUCACCUGGAGCACCCCUAGUCUUGUUGCAGUGUCCUCGGGAAAGCCUUCUGCUGAACACCCUUCAGCCUGAGGCUGCUGGGCUGUCCUGACCAGGCCGGAUGCUGCCAGGCCAGCCCGGAGCCUGUCCAGUGGCACUGAUCUAGAGUGUUCCCUGGACUGGCGUCUGCUGACCUAGGACCCUUCCCUGGUGGGCUCCCUAUGCCUAGUCCACUCUUUCUUUCUGACCAUCUCCUGUUUUGGGAAGCCAGAUGUUACAUAAGACCUGCUGUGAAGAAGCUGGAACUUAGUUCUUCCAGCAAGUUUUGUUACUCACUCUAAGAUGUCACAUCAGUCAAACCCGUUCUAUGACCUCUGGACACCCAGAGCUCCAACGUCACCUCCUGGGGCUACUUUCCUGAGCUCCCUGCUCCAAACGUCAGCGCCAUCCAUCUGGAGCCCCCGCCUUUAUGUAUUCUUGUUCAUAGCAUUUACCUACUUGACUCCUUACCCACGUCUGAUUGCGUGCUGGCUGUACCCCACUAGAAGGCCCCAGCCCUGUGCAAGGCGGGGGCGGGUGGUGAGGGAGGGGCCCGGUUUGUUCAUCCUGCAUCCCUCGCACGUCACAGUAGGCACUCGAUCAACGUACUCUGAAUGAAUGAGUGCAUGGAUGAGUGCAUCGUUCCAGACGGGCUCCUCCCUGUGACACUCUGCUUAGGCUGACCCAGAGCCCCUGAGACGCCCCGUGGAGAGGGAGGCCAGGGCUGCGCUGUUUCCUGUGCAAUCUGACCCUGAGGACACCCCUCGGCUUUAGCUGACAACGUUAGGUCAUUUGGCUCAUGCCAUAACGGCUCAUGCCUCCCAGUCUAAUGAUUUUUUAAGUACGCUUUUGGAUUUUCCUUUCAAAUAAACUAUCUCACCAGCUCCUGGUGACAAGUUGAACACCUCGGAGAUCACAGCACUGAGUCCUGGGGGUCAAAAGAAAUCAUUCAAAGCUGAGAAAAUCAAGUAGUAUUAAAAGGACAGAAGCUAACCCAGAGAAUUUUUUAAAUAACAUGAUAAACUAAAAUUGGGUAAUGGAGGGAGGUAGAGAAAGUGGCGGUGCUUCGGGUGGAGUAGUAAGUUCUGCCUAAUCUGAGCUACGUUACCCCGCAGAGCAGUAGUGUUACGAGGGCAACGGCAAGAUGAGCCAGAACCGAAAUAAUCAGCAGCAGCACAUGCACCCAAGAUGAAGAACACACAAACUAUAAACCAGGCAGUAAAAGAGAAAACAUGUAGAAAAUAGGACAGAAGUAAGACCAAGUAGCUCCAAAAUUUGACAGGGCUGAACUGAGCAUUUAAAUAUAAAACACAAACCCGCUAAAAGUUAAACCAUGAAACAUCUAGAAGGAAACAUAGGAGUUAGAAAAAGGAGUAAUUUUGGAGUGCAGAUUAGAAGUGUGAGUAAACGUUAAGACACCAUAAAACAAAAGAUUAAUAUGCUGACCGUAUACAGAUAGAUAGAAGAAAUCUGUAGGUCAAAAAAGGAAAAGAUGAAUAAAAUUUAAAAAGGAGGACCAAGCAUGAAAUAUACUUGCACCACACAUCAGAAUCAAAGCAGAUGGUGUCUUCACUUCCUGUUGCAUUACUGCACAUUAAUGACGAAAAGACCAACCACUCCACAGCAGGACCGGCAGGGGAGGUAGAGACGGAAACAGAAAUAACUGCCUCUCGUACACAAGGAAAGUCAAGAGAAAUGUAAUCAAAACUACACUGAGAUGCUCCUUCCCCACAUCGUAGUCAGGACACACUAGAAAGCAUGCAGAUGUCUCGCUGCCCUAGAGAUCCCUCUAGGUGCCCAACUCGCUCUCUUGACCUGGGGAGAAUGCUGCGCAUCUGUCUCAGCUGUCUGGCGCUGAUUGCUUAAGAAAACUAGAUGGGCACACCGCAGCCUUGAGGGGAGCCAGGUGAUGAUUUUUGGCUACUACAAAAAGAAAUAUGGAUCCAGUUCGACCUCAGAUGCAGGAAACAGGCCCAGGCUCUGCACAGUGUCCUUCCCACUCCUGAAAUAUGCUCAGGCUUUCCUUGGAAUCUUGGCAGGCCAGGGCCCAAGCACAUCCUGCCCAACUUCCUGUGCGUAGGUUUGCA